rnacentral:rRNA from 1 species
UAGGGAAUCUUCCACAAUGGACGCAAGUCUGAUGGAGCAACGCCGCGUGAGUGAAGAAGGUUUUCGGACCGUAAAGCUCUGUUGUUGGUGAAGAAGGAUAGAGGUAGUAACUGGCCUUUAUUUGACGGUAAUCAACCAGAAAGUCACGGCUAACUACGUGCCAGCAGCCGCGGUAAUACGUAGGUGGCAAGCGUUGUCCGGAUUUAUUGGGCGUAAAGCGAGCGCAGGCGGAAGAAUAAGUCUGAUGUGAAAGCCCUCGGCUUAACCGAGGAAUUGCAUCGGAAACUGUUUUCUUGAGUGCAGAAGAGGAGAGUAGAACUCCAUGUGUAGCGGUGGAAUGCGUAGAUAUAUGGAAGAAUACCAGUGGCGAAGGCGGCUCUCUGGUCUGCAACUGACGCUGAGGUUGCGAAAGCAUGGGUAGCGAACAGGAUUAGAUACCCUGGUAGUCCAUGCCGUAAACGAUGAGUGCUAAGUGUUGGGAGGCUUCCGCCUCUCAGUGCUGCAGCUAACGCAUUAAGCACUCCGCCUGGGGGAGUACGACCGCAAGGUUGAAAC